rnacentral:rRNA from 1 species
UACGUAGGGGGCAAGCGUUGUCCGGAAUUAUUGGGCGUAAAGAGCGUGUGGGCGGCCAGAUAAGUCCGCUGUGAAAUCUCGAGGCUCAACUUCGAGCUGUCGGUGGAAACUAUCUGGCUAGAGUCCGGAAGAGGAGAAUGGAAUUCCUGGUGUAGCGGUGAAAUGCGCAGAUAUCAGGAAGAACACCCGUGGCGAAGGCGGUUCUCUGGGACGGUACUGACGCUGAGACGCGAAAGCGUGGGGAGCGAACAGG